rnacentral:rRNA from 1 species
GAAUCUAGCUCUAGGUCGGGGACAACAGUUGGAAACGACUGCUAAUACCGGAUGUGCCGAAAGGUGAAAGAUUAAUUGCCUAGAGAUGAGCUCGCGUCUGAUUAGCUAGUUGGUGGGGUAAGAGCCUACCAAGGCGACGAUCAGUAGCUGGUCUGAGAGGAUGAUCAGCCACACUGGGACUGAGACACGGCCCAGACUCCUACGGGAGGCAGCAGUGGGGAAUUUUCCGCAAUGGGCGAAAGCCUGACGGAGCAAUACCGCGUGAGGGAGGAAGGCUCUUGGGUCGUAAACCUCUUUUCUCAGGGAAGAAGAAAGUGACGGUACCUGAGGAAUCAGCAUCGGCUAACUCCGUGCCAGCAGCCGCGGUAAUACGGAGGAUGCAAGCGUUAUCCGGAAUGAUUGGGCGUAAAGCGUCCGCAGGUGGCUGUGUAAGUCUGCUGUUAAAGAAUGAGGCUCAACCUCAUCAAAGCAGUGGAAACUACACGGCUAGAGUGCGUUCGGGGCAGAGGGAAUUCCUGGUGUAGCGGUGAAAUGCGUAGAGAUCAGGAAGAACACCGGUGGCGAAAGCGCUCUGCUAGGCCGCAACUGACACUGAGGGACGAAAGCUAGGGGAGCG